rnacentral:rRNA from 1 species
AUUGAACGCUGGCGGCAGGCCUAACACAUGCAAGUCGAACGAGUGGCGGACGGGUGAGUCAUGUCUGGGAAACUGCCUGAUGGAGGGGGAUAACUACUGGAAACGGUAGCUAAUACCGCAUACCCUCGGAUGUGCCCAGAUGGGAUUAGCUAUGAGGGGGGGUAACGGCUCACCUAGGCGACGAUCCCUAGCUGGUCUGAGAGGAUGACCAGCAACACUGGACGGGGGACACGGUCCGGCCGCCUACGGGAGGCAGCGGUGGGGAAUAUUGCACAUUGGGCGAAAGCCUGAUGCAGCCAGGCGGCGUGUAUGAAGAAGGCCUUCGGGUUGUAAAGUACUUUCAGCGGGGAGGCGUUACCCGCAGAGGAAGCACCGGCUAACUCCGUGCCAGCAGCCGCGGUAAUUC